rnacentral:rRNA from 1 species
CCAAUAGCGUAUAUUAAAGUUGUUGCAGUUAAAAAGCUCGUAGUUGAAUUUCGAGAUCAAUUUGUCGGUCGUGCCUCGGUACGUACUGGCAUUAUUGGUUUCUCCCUUCUGAAGAACCGCGAUGUCAUUAAUUUGGUGUCGUGGGGAAUCAGGACUGUUACUUUGAAAAAAUUAGAGUGUUUAAAGCAGGCGCACGCUUGAAUACAUUAGCAUGGAAUAAUGCAAUAGGACGUUUGAUUCUAUUUUGUUGGUUUCUAGGAUCGACGUAAUGAUUAAUAGGGAUAGUUGGGGGCAUUAGUAUUCAAUUGUGAGAGGUGAAAUUCUUGGAUUUAUUGAAGACUAACUACUGCGAAAGCAUUUGCCAAGGAUGUUUUCAUUAAUCAAGAACGAAAGUUAGGGGAUCGAAGACGAUCAGAUACCGUCGUAGUCUUAACCAUAAACUAUGCCGACUAGGGAUCGGAUGAUGUUAAUUUUUUAAUGACUCAUUCGGCGCCUUACG